rnacentral:lncRNA from 1 species
CUUCCUCAGCCGCUUGCCACACACCUGGCUGCACUGGCUCCAGCCUCUUUCCUCAAAUUCCUUUUCUCCCACUCUGACACCUAGGAGGCCUGUCCAACUGUCACCUGGUGGGGUCUUGUUAGUGGCUGCAGCACAGCUCUCACCCUCUUUUAUUUUUAUUUUUUAAGAAAGAGAGGGGACAGACAGAGAGAGAAUUUUAAUAUUUAUUUUUCAGUCUUUGGCGGACACAACAGCUUUGUUUGUAUGUGGUGCUGAGGAUGGAACCCGGGGCCGCACGCAUGCCAGGCGAGUGCGCUACCGCUUGAGCCACAUCCCCAGCCCAGCGCUCACCCUCUUAAUCUACUACUCAGUAUCAGGGUUUGGCAGAUGAAGGGGACCCUGGCCCCUCUGAUUUAUGGAUGAAUGAAAAUGAGUGAAUGAACAAGGGACUGAAAGCUGAAUCGUCCCAGGUCACCAGAGUCGGCCUCUUUCCUCGAGGAGCUCAAACAUGGGGGACAGGCUUAUAAAUCACAAUCCCCUGUGAUAAGAGCCGAGGAACCACAACACCUCGGGCACCUAAGAUGACAGGAAUGGCCAGGCAGAGCUCUAGAGGAGGCUGCUGGGCUGGGCCUUCCCGGCAAAGGGUGAAAGCUCCCUGGGUGCUGCUGGGCCCUUCGUAGCACUUUUCUUCUUUUUAAAUUUACACUUAUGUAUUUAAUCCACCCCCACCGGAAAUUCCAUGGGAUGAACCAGGCCUGCUGGGCUUUACCCCAGUGCUGAGCCUGAGGGUUUUGGUGUGGAAUCCUG